rnacentral:rRNA from 1 species
AUUGAACGCUGGCGGCAGGCUUAACACAUGCAAGUCGAGCGAGCGGCGGACGGGUGAGUAAAGUCUGGGAAACUGCCUGAUGGAAGGGGAUAACUACUGGAAACGGUAGCUAAUACCGCAUACCAUCAGAUGUGCCCCGGUGGGAUGAGCAGGUGGGUGGGGUAACGGCUCACCUGGGCGACGAUCCCUAGCGGGUCUGAGAGGAUGACCAGCACAACUGAAACUGAGACACGGUCCAGACCCCUACGGGAGGCAGCAGUGGGGAAUAUUGGACAAUGGGCGCAAGCCUGAUGCAGCCAGGCCGCGUGUGUGAAGAAGGCCUUCGGGUUGUAAAGCACUUUCAGCGGGGAGGCGUUACCCGCAGAAGAAGCACCGGCUAACUCCGUGCCAGCAGCCGCGGUAAUUC